AUUGAACGCUGGCGGCAGGCCUAACACAUGCAAGUCGAGCGGUAGAGAGAAGCUUGCUUCUCUUGAGAGCGGCGGACGGGUGAGUAAUGCCUAGGAAUCUGCCUGAUAGUGGGGGAUAACGUCCGGAAACGGACGCUAAUACCGCAUACGUCCUACGGGAGAAAGCGGGGGCUCUUCGGACCUCACGCUAUCAGAUGAGCCUAGGUCGGAUUAGCUAGUUGGUGGGGUAAAGGCUUACCAAGGCGACGAUCCGUAACUGGUCUGAGAGGAUGAUCAGUCACACUGGAACUGAGACACGGUCCAGACUCCUACGGGAGGCAGCAGUGGGGAAUAUUGGACAAUGGGCGAAAGCCUGAUCCAGCCAUGCCGCGUGUGUGAAGAAGGUCUUCGGAUUGUAAAGCACUUUAAGUUGGGAGGAAGGGUCGUUACCUAAUACGUGGCGAUUUUGACGUUACCGACAGAAUAAGCACCGGCUAACUCUGUGCCAGCAGCCGCCGUAACAC
rnacentral:rRNA from 1 species